GGAGAGGUGGCUCAGUGGUUAAGAGCACUGGCUGCUCUCCCAGAGGUCCUGAGUUCAAAUCCCAGCAACCACA
rnacentral:tRNA from 1 species